rnacentral:rRNA from 1 species
UAAGCAUAUCAAUAAGCGGAGGAAAAGAAACCAACUGGGAUUGCCCUAGUAACGGCGAGUGAAGCGGCAACAGCUCAAAUUUGAAAUCUGGCCCUCUCCGGGGGUCCGAGUUGUAAUUUGCAGAGGGCGCUUUGGCUUUGGUAGCGGUCUAAGUUCCUUGGAACAGGACAUCACAGAGGGUGAGAAUCCCGUACGUGGUCGCCCGCCAUUGCCGUGUAAAGCCCCUUCGACGAGUCGAGUUGUUUGGGAAUGCAGCUCUAAAUGGGAGGUAAAUUUCUUCUAAAGCUAAAUACCGGCCAGAGACCGAUAGCGCACAAGUAGAGUGAUCGAAAGAUGAAAAGCACUUUGGAAAGAGAGUCAAAUAGCACGUGAAAUUGUUGAAAGGGAAGCGCUUGCAGCCAGACUUGCCCGCAGUUGCUCACCCAGGCUCUUGCCUGGGGCACUCUUCUGCGGGCAGGCCAGCAUCAGUUUGGGCGGCUGGAUAAAGGCCUCUGUCAUGUAUCUUCCUUCGGGAUGACCUUAUAGGGGAGGCGUAACACGGUCAGCCCGGACUGAGGACCGCGCAUCUGCUAGGAUGCUGGCGUAAUGGCUGUAAGCGGCCCGUCUUGAAACACGGACCAAGGAGUCUAACAUCUAUGCGAGUGUUUGGGUGUCAAGCCCGGGCGCGCAAUGAAAGUGAACGGAGGUGGGAACCCCCUCUGGGGGCGCACCAUCGACCGAUCCUGAUGUCUUCGGAUGGAUUUGAGUAAGAGCAUAGCUGUUGGGACCCGAAAGAUGGUGAACUAUGCUUGAAUAGGGUGAAGCCAGAGGAAACUCUGGUGGAGGCUCGCAGCGGUUCUGACGUGCAAAUCGAUCGUCAAAUUUGGGCAUAGGGGCGAAAGACU